GACGAACGCUGGCGGCGUGCUUAACACAUGCAAGUCGAACGGCAAGGCCCUGCUUUUGUGGGGUGCUCGAGUGGCGAACGGGUGAGUAACACGUGAGUAACCUGCUCUUGACUUUGGGAUAACUUCAGGAAACUGGGGCUAAUACCGGAUAGGAGCUCCUGCUGCAUGGUGGGGGUUGGAUCGUUUCGGCGGUUGGGGAUGGACUCGCGGCUUAUCAGCUUGUUGGUGGGGUAGUGGCUUACCAAGGCUUUGACGGGUAGCCGGCCUGUGAGGGUGACCGGCCACAUUGGGACUGAGAUACGGCCCAGACUGCUACGGGAGGCAGCAGUGGGGAAUAUUGCACAAUGGGCGGAAGCCUGAUGCAGCAACGCCGCGUGCGGGAUGACGGCCUUCGGGUUGUAAACCGCUUUCGCCUGUGACGAAGCGGGAGUGACGGUAAUGGGUAAAGAAGCACCGGCUAACUACGUG
rnacentral:rRNA from 1 species